GAGUUUGAUCAUGGCUCAGGACGAACGCUGGCGGCGUGCUUAAUACAUGCAAGUCGAGCGCAGGAAAUCGACGGAACCCUUCGGGGGGAAGUCGACGGAAUGAGCGGCGGACGGGUGAGUAACACGUAAAGAACCUGCCCUCAGGUCUGGGAUAACCACGAGAAAUCGGGGCUAAUACCGGAUGGGUCAUCGGACCGCAUGGUCCGAGGAUGAAAGGCGCUUCGGCGUCGCCUGUGGAUGGCUUUGCGGUGCAUUAGCUAGUUGGUGGGGUAAUGGCCCACCAAGGCGACGAUGCAUAGCCGACCUGAGAGGGUGAUCGGCCACACUGGGACUGAGACACGGCCCAGACUCCUACGGGACGCAGCAGA
rnacentral:rRNA from 1 species